rnacentral:rRNA from 1 species
CGAUGAUGGGAGCUUGCUCCUGGAUUAGUGGCGAACGGGUGAGUAACACGUGAGUAACCUGCCCUUAACUCUGGGAUAAGCCUGGGAAACUGGGUCUAAUACCGGAUAUGACUCCUCAUCGCAUGGUGGGGGGUGGAAAGCUUUUUGUGGUUUUGGAUGGACUCGCGGCCUAUCAGCUUGUUGGUGAGGUAAUGGCUUACCAAGGCGACGACGGGUAGCCGGCCUGAGAGGGUGACCGGCCACACUGGGACUGAGACACGGCCCAGACUCCUACGGGAGGCAGCAGUGGGGAAUAUUGCACAAUGGGCGCAAGCCUGAUGCAGCGACGCCGCGUGAGGGAUGACGGCCUUCGGGUUGUAAACCUCUUUCAGUAGGGAAGAAGCGAAAGUGACGGUACCUGCAGAAGAAGCGCCGGCUAACUACGUGCCAG